GUCAGCUCGUGUCGUGAGAUGUUGGUUAAGUCCCGCAACGAGCGCAACCCCUAUUGUUAGUUGCCAUCAUUCAGUUGGGCACUCUAGCGAGACUGCCGGUAAUAAACCGGAGGAAGGUGGGGAUGACGUCAAAUCAUCAUGCCCCUUAUGACCUGGGCUACACACGUGCUACAAUGGUUGGUACAACGAGUUGCGAGUCGGUGACGGCGAGCUAAUCUCUUAAAGCCAAUCUCAGUUCGGAUUGUAGGCUGCAACUCGCCUACAUGAAGUCGGAAUCGCUAGUAAUCGCGGAUCAGCACGCCGCGGUGAAUACGUUCCCGGGCCUU
rnacentral:rRNA from 1 species